rnacentral:rRNA from 1 species
CAGUCGCCACGGGAAUACGAAGGGGGCUAGCGUUGUUCGGAUUUACUGGGCGUAAAGCGCACGUAGGCGGAUCGAUCAGUCAGGGGUGAAAUCCCAGAGCUCAACUCUGGAACUGCCUUUGAUACUGUCGAUCUGGAGUAUGGAAGAGGUGAGUGGAAUUCCGAGUGUAGAGGUGAAAUUCGUAGAUAUUCGGAGGAACACCAGUGGCGAAGGCGGCUCACUGGUCCAUUACUGACGCUGAGGUGCGAAAGCGUGGGGAGCAAACAGGAUUAGAUACCCCGUAGUCCCUGUCUCUUAUACA